UACGUAGGGUCCGAGCGUUGUCCGGAAUUAUUGGGCGUAAAGAGCUCGUAGGCGGCGUGUCGCGUCUGCUGUGAAAGACCGGGGCUUAACUCCGGUUUUGCAGUGGAUACGGGCAUGCUAGAGGUAGGUAGGGGAGACUGGAAUUCCUGGUGUAGCGGUGGAAUGCGCAGAUAUCAGGAGGAACACCGGUGGCGAAGGCGGGUCUCUGGGCCUUACCUGACGCUGAGGAGCGAAAGCAUGGGGAGCGAACAGG
rnacentral:rRNA from 1 species